rnacentral:lncRNA from 1 species
GUCUAAGGUAAGUUUGGUAGUUUGACCAGUGGUUUUUAAGCGGGAGCUACUCACAGUGAUUCGAUCUCUGACGAGUUAAUGGCUUAUCCCUACCACUGAUCUCACUUACCUGGCCAACCUAGUGAAUUAGGUUUUGAUUAGAUCACUUGGUGAUUAGGGCUCACCCAUGUCAUUAGGUAAAUCAGUUUGACUGAUUUAGGUGCUCCUAAUGCCAGCUUUAAGUAAAUCCUUUUUAAUCUGACUUGGUGA